UUGUGAUGUGCACAGCUCUUCUCCUCGUCGUCCGUCCUCUCGUCCUCCUCCUGCCGAUCAGCGCAUUCACACACACACACACACACACACACACACACGCACACAGACCCUUUUGCAUUCCCACAGCGCCCUCAAGGGGGGAGGGGGACGCACCUGAAGUAAGCGGUGCCGAGGACGUGCGUCUCUCGCUUGCUCGAUGCCUGUCGGUCUUAUCGUCCUUCGCGUUUUUUUUUGAUUUUGUAGCGUUCUUUCGCGUUCUUUUCUGCGUUUGCGCGCGUGUGUGUGUGUGCCUGAUUGCGUCCCUCUCUCGAGCAAGCCCACUGGUAAGUCACCAUGCCGCCACCGCUGCGCUCCAAGGCGGAGUCCGUCCGGCGCGAGGAGGUGUGCCAGAUGUUGGAGCCGAAGCGGUCCAUGUCCGUUCGCGACACACUCUACGGUCAGCUCGAGUUCCCGCCGGUGAUUCGCAUCCUGACGGACUCGCCGGUGGUGCAGCGGCUGCGCGACCUGAAGCAGCUGGGAAACUCCUUCUAUGUCUACCCAGGUGCCACGCACUCCCGCUUCGAGCACUCUCUAGGUGUCUGCUACCUUGGCAUGGAGCUGUACCGCAGCAUCGUGGAUGGGCAUCGAGAGGAACACAGGGACUUUGGCGUCCCCGAGAUCGCGAACCUGACGCGUGAGGCCGCGCAGAAGGACAUGCACUGUAUCGGGAUUGCCGGCUUGUGCCACGACCUCGGGCAUGGGCCACUGUCGCACUUGUUCGAGUCCUUUGUGCGCUCCUCUGCGCGGCCGGAGGAAGUGCAGCUGCGCAGGUGGUCGCAUGAACAGGCGAGCAUCAUGCUUCUCCGCAAGAUGUGGUUGGAGAAUGAGACGGAGCUAGCCGAGCUCGGCUUUACGGAGAGUGAUCUGCGCUACGUGGAGCUGCUGAUCAACGGCCUCGCACCCGGCAAGGCGUGGCCGGACAACGUUGGACGACCAAAGUGGGCGCGCUUCACGACGGAGAUUAUCGCGAACAAGCGCAGUGGACUGGACGUGGACAAGAUCGACUACAUCCAGCGGGACUCUGUCGCGUGCCUUGGUACGCCCACCUUCGUCUCCAUGAGCCGCCUUUUCCAAGGUGCACGGGUGGUGGUGGGUGACAAUGACGAGACAUCCAUCGGCUACCCCGACAAGCUGGACGGCGUCAUCGAGGAGAUCUUCCUCGCCCGCUCCCACCUCCACCGUAUCGUCUACCAGCACCGUGUGACCAAGGUGAUUGACCUCAUGACGCUGGACGCCCUGCGCGCUGCUGGGGACGUGUUCGAGGUCAGCAAUGGCAAAGACGGCGUCAUGCCGCUGCGGUCGUGCGUGCUGCACCCAGACUUCUACGUGCACGCCAGCGACUGGAUCGUGCUGGCGAUUUUGCACGGCAGCAACAGAACGAUGGCGGAGCCAUUGGGUAGCGGCGCCUCGGCAGAGCAUCGCCGCGAAAAGCUCGCCGAGGCGCGCCGCAUCCUGCAGCGCAUCCAAAGCCGGCACCUGUACACGACAAUCGGCUCUUACCGCCACAGCGAACAGACCUUGAUCAAUGCAGGCCGCCUAAAUUCCGUGGAGGGGUCCAGCCAGGAGGUGAAGCGGGAGGUCAUGAUUCACGAGUUGCUGUCUGAUAUUGAAGUGACGAGCCUGGACCUGUCGGUGAAGCUGCGUGAGUGGUCCCGGCAGCACAACGGCAUGGCAUCAAUUGAGAUUCUGCAGGCGGAGAUUACGCAAACGGCCGGGGACAUGGACAAGAAACACAACCCAGUGAGUGCUACCUACUUCUUCAACCCGCGCCAGUCUACGCACUGCCGCGUCGAGCCGCACUUCUCCUGCAACGUGACAACGACGCUGUUUGUGAAGAUGGGUCCCGUGUCAUCGCUGGUGGUCGUGUGCCGCAUGCCGUUGACUCCGCAGGAGAAGGAGUCGCUGCGCGUCAGCUUCACCUCUGUUGCCGAUCGGCUUGGCAAGACGGACGCGAGCUCUUUUUCCUGCACCCCCAUGAGCCAACGGGGCCGCGCCGCCGAGUCAUCGCAGCAGGCAGCCUCUGCGGCGCGAGACGAGUCCGCCGCGACCCCGAAUCCCUCGAUGACGGCGGCGGAGAGGCUCACGUCCUCCUUGAGCGGUGGGUGUCCCGCGGCAAAGCGGCUGAAAUUGGACCUGGACACCAAACUCUCCCGGCGGGAAGACUGUGACGUUGAUCAGAGCAGCGAAGGCGUUCUCCAGAACGACGCGACAUCGAGCUCCCUUGAGCUGGUGACGCCCGCGGGGUAUGGGCAGGUGGGGGAGAAGGGCCAGGAUGACGACGAUGGCGAGGAGACGGACAUCCUCAGCUUUUCGUAGAAGGCUACAAGUGGGGAGGUAUGAUGCCCAAGGGGAGAGCGCGAGCGAGAUCGGAGGGGCCGGGGCAAGGAAGUCGGCCGGGCCAGGUAUUAGUUCCUGUGAGAGGAGGAGAGCAAGAGAAGAGGGGAAGGAGGCAGGCUGCGUACUCUUCAGUGUCUCAGCGUGGCCCAUCGAAGGGCUGUUGAUGGCCUGGCUCUCCCUUGGUAUCUUGCCCCUCUCCCUCUCUCUCCCCCUCUUUCGCUUUCUUCGCAUCACCGCUGCCAGCCAUCUGCCAGUUCUCCGCGACCCUCUCUCCUCGGGUACUGCGGCUAUGUGGUUGACGUGGAUCAAUCAGGUGCUUUCCGGUGUGGCUCGCCCCCCCAUUGCUUCGCACGCCAUGCCGAACCGUACGGAGCCGCCUCUCUCCCCGUUUUUCUCUCUGCAGCACCAUUGACGGUAGAGCCCUUCCUUUUUCGAAUCUCGUCUCACCGGUGCCCACGCGCGCGCGCACCUCCAUCGCGGCGCGGCUUUUUCUUUUCCCUUUAUGCUUGCGUUUUUCGCAUUUGGCAUGUGAGCCCGAUGCGCCCCAUCAGCAAGCGUAAGCGCCGCUGCCCGUCUCCUCUACGCUUUCCACUGCCACCUUCACACCCACCCUUCAGACGUACUCCGCGCAAGCCAUGCGGAUAGGAUGCCGUGGAAGCCGACCAACAUCGAAAACCAACGGAGCCCCUCUCGUGCGACGGGCACUUUCAACUUGCGCUUGUAUGCUGCUGCUGAUGCGGCAGCAGAAUUCAGUGUAUCACGCGCACGUACGCCUUUUCCUCUUCAUUACGUUUUGCCAAGGUGCGGGGCUCCUUCUGACCCGCUAAGCCUCGCGUAGGUCUAGUCGACCAAGCGCGGGCGCUCUCACGUGGCCGUUCCACCUCCUUCCCUGCGCACACUAUCGGGUUUCUUUCACUUUAUAUAUAUUUCCCUUCUUCCCUCUGCUGCUGCUGAAG
rnacentral:misc_RNA from 1 species